rnacentral:tRNA from 1 species
CGGGGUGUAGCUCAGUUCGGCAGAGCGCUCGUUUUGGGGGCGAGAAGUCGGCGGUUCAAGUCCGCCCACCCCGA